GUCUUACCGGAGUGUGCUGUUCUAUCUUGCCGGUGCAGCGUAUAUCCCGCUAGCAGAAUAUCCAUGUCGUCAUUCAGCCACGAUUCCGUGAAACAUAGGAUAUUACAGUUUUUGAUGUCCCGUUGGUAGGAUAUUCGAGAAUGUACCUCGUCUAAUUUAUUGUCCAAUGAUUACACGUUGGCGAGUAAUAAUGACGGUAACGGCAGCUUUCCCACUCGCCUUCUGUGGGUCCUCACGAGGCAUCCCACUCUGUGUCCUCUGUGCCUGCGUUUCUUCCUGUGACGAUCGUCAAAAUGAGUAGACCAUUUUGCAGCAUGGAAAGUGCUCAUAUUUAUAUUUAUUGUAACUCAGAAGACUCAAACAAAAUAACAAACCAAGGAAAAACCGAACGUCACGUUCUGCAUGCUUACUGAGCUGACAAAAACAAGAUCCCACACAGAAGGAGGGAAAAAUGGCUGCCUAAGUAUGAUUCCUAAUCAGAGACAACGAUAGACAGCUGCCUCUGAUUAGGAACCAUACUCGGCUAAACACAAAGAAAUAGAAAACAUAGAAUGGCAUAGAAUGCCCACCCCACAUCACACCCUGACCUAACCCAAAAAAGAGAAAUUAAACGGCAAUCUAAGGUCAGGGCGUGACACUUCCUCUUGCAAAUAAUGGGGAUGUUGGCCCUGUCGGGUGUUUGGAGAAUGUCCUGUGCGUCUUGCUUGUUAAAGAAAAAAUCUUAGUCUAAUCCGAGGUGAGUGAUCGCUGUCCUGAUAUCCAGAAGCUCUUUUUUUGCCGUAAGAUACGGUUGCAGAAACAUUAUGUACAAAAUAAGUUACAAAUAACGCGAAAAAAAACACAUAAUAGCACAAUUGGUUGGGCGCCAAUAAAACUGCUGCCAUUCUUCCAGCACCAUUUUAAUUAAUCUAAAGCCAACUCAUGGCGGCUGACGACUGCUUUCAGAUUUUGGACAUCUAAUAAGAUUUGGCUAAAUCCUCGGAUCAUUAAAUUCAUAUGGGCCUGUAAAGAGUAGGUUCAAUUGUUUACCCACUUUCCCAGGACAGCCACACCCCAGGAGGGUAUGACUGACAUACCAAAAAUCUGACAUACCAAAAAUCUCACCCAGGUGUAGGACAUGACCAUAGUCUUCCUGAUUGUCUGGUAUGAGUUGUUUGGUACACUUCAGUUCCCCAGAGUUGGUUUUACCUGUCUCAUUGAAAAGAUCAGUGACCGGAGUUCUUAACAUGUACAUUUCUGUUCUCCCUAAAUAACAACAUCCCUUUCCAUCCCAUGGGGAGGGAAAUGUAGCCCUUACCCCCACAGAUCCAGAGAUGAUCCGGAGGUGUCCCCACGCCUUUGCCUAUGUUUGACAUAUUUACCCUAGUUAUCAAUUGUUGCCCAUCCAGUACAUCAAAACUACUGGUAUCCAUUUUUAGGCCUGUGUAUGACAGGCAAUUAGUGGUGUUUCCUACAUCCACAUUCCCUGAGUUGCAGAUACAAACAGGGGGAGUUAUUGUGGGUUUUAAUCCUGUCAACACAACAUCUCCUUUAUCAUUUAGGGGCUUUACACUACCAGUCAGAUACUCUCCCAUUGUACUUUUGGAGGUCCUAUGCAUUUGAUCAGCUGGGUAAUGUUACCUGGUUGUACGCUAGGAACCUUCUUCCACCUUGGCCAUUUAGUCUCUGUGGGUCCACCCUCCUUAAAUUCUUUAGCUGCAUCUGAACUAUUACCCAUUGUCUUAUUGGAUAAUCCACCUUCCCAUGCUGCUUCCUUCCCCCUAGUGACCAACAGAAUAGUAUAAUUGCUGUUUCUUUGACGAACCCUGGUAUUGUUCCUUUGCAUAAAAUGGAAUAAUCUACAUCCAAAAUAAUUCUUUCCAAUUGGUACUGCCUGGGUUCCCCACAGAAAGGCUGUGGAGGUGGGUUUCUGUAAAAUCAUUACCCAUGUGCCAGAUGUGUUCCCCUUCCCCUGUAAUCCUAUGUAUGUCACUGCUUUCACCCAUUUAUUAUUCUCUAUAUCCCCGUCCACAAAGGGAACGAGUAGGAUUUGGAGAGCAAUAAAUACCCUGCAUGUGUUUCCAUGGUUGCGAUUUUCUUGUUUCACAACCAUAGUGUGUGUGUAUGAUGGUUUCCUCGACAUCUGAUGACUCUUCAGGUUCUGUGGCUGAACCCUCUGUUGGAUCUUCUGGCCUUUGGUCUCGGCCCUUUGGCUAUGGUCUUCCCCGUUUCUCCUCUGGCCCCACCUCAUCGGUGGAUCUCAGCCUCUUUCCUCCUCUGUGUCCUCCAAGCAGGACAGUUGCCAACCUGGGAGAAGCCUGGAAGGGUCCCAUCCAUCUUGGCUGGUUCCAUUUUCUUUUAUGGACUUGUAGUUUCACCCAGUCUGCUACGUAGGUGGUCAGAGCAUCUGGAUCCUCACCUGGGAUUGGUUCUGCUGCUUUCCUAGUGUGAGAGUGCAGAAAACUUACAACAUAAGUUAGUUCCUUCAUGUACUCAAGAUGGUCACACUGUGUCUCAGUUAUGUCUAUCUGUCGUUCAGUCAUAGGUCUCACCCCUGGGGUGUUCAUUGGUCGUCUUGUUAACAUCUCGUAAGGUGUACACCCAAUACCUUUGUUAAGGCUGCUGCGCAUUUUCAUGAGGACAAGGGGCAAUCCCUCUACCAAUGUCAUUCCUGUGGAAUGGCAUAGUUUGGCAAGGGAGCCUUUCAGGGUCUGAUUAGCCCUCUCAGUAACUCACGUUACUCCACGGAUGAUAGAUAGACACAAACUUCUGGUCAUCACCCAUCAUUUUGGCCACUUGGGCAACCACAUCUCCUAUGAGAUGGGUCCCAUUGUCUGCAGACAAAACCUCAGGCAUUCCGAACCUGGGUAUGAUUUCCCUGACUAGCAAUUUUGCAACUGUUCACACAACACAGUUGGUGGUGGGAAAUACUUCCACCCACCUGGGGAACCUGUCAAUUAUCACCAGGCAGUAUCUCUUUCUUUCUGUUCGCUCUACCAUGUCUAUGAAAUUCAUAGCAAGGUGGACAAAAGGUCCUUUUGGAGUGGGGAACUUCACUGGUUGCAAUGGAGUUCCCUUGUCUAUGUUAUAUAACAAACAUGUCACGCAAUGAUAAAUGAACAGUUUUUUUAUGUGCUGAUUCAAAUUUUGGCAAAACCAUUGAGCCAAACUCUUCUCCUCCUAAAUCUUCUCCUCCUAAAUCUUCUCCUCCUCCAUAUCCCACCUUGACGAAUGGCUCAUGGAGUGAGCCAAUCGGCAAAUAUUAAAGAUCAUGGUUGAUGGUAAACAGGGCAUGCCAGACAAAAGAUGUAGCCUUAAGCCAGACCUAGGACAGAGAGCACACCCUCUCUCCCUCCACACAUGGUAAUUGAGAAUAUCAGCCUGAUGCUGUUUCUCAAGAUCAGUAGCUUCAGAUUACACAAACGACAAAAAAUAGAAUGCAUGUGUGUGACAACAGGAAGAAGACAAUUUGGCCGCCUCAUUAGCUAUGCUGUUACCAAUACUAGCAUAAUCACUCCUACCUGUGUAUGCCUCAACCUUAACAAUAGUCAAUUUGUUAGGUUUUCACAUAGUUUCAAUCAACUGUUCAACAUAAGGUCUGAUUUUAAUAGGUGUGCCCGUGGUAUAAGUAAACCCUCCUGCUCUCCAAACCUCACACCAGGACAGACAAACCCCAAUAGCAUAUGCUGAAUCUGAGUAGACAGUAAGGACCUUCCCUUCCCCCAAUUCACAAGCUGUGUUCAGAGCUAAUAAAUCUGCCUGAUGCACUAAUAAAUGUUCUGGUAGGGGCUGUAUAACCUCAAUAUCACCUUCCACAUCUACUACAGCAAAUCCUACAUGUUUCUUCCCUGUGCUUUGAUCUAUGUAAGCAGAACCAUCAACGAACAGCACCAUGUCAGAGUCAAACAGAGGUUCAUCAAACAAGUCUUUGUCCAGUACACAUUCCUGGGCUGUCCAGAUGUCCCUGUUAUUGUUACUGAUGAUUUGCUCAGAGAAGCCCGAAUAACUUGUCCAGGUUUGCCUAAACAGGAACAGUGAGCUCUAGUGUCUAUUAGAAAUGGUAGGUCAUGUCCAUUAACAUUAAGAGUAACCAUUGGCUCUCCUCUUCCAUCAUUGAAUUCGUACUGGGGACACUGGAGCAGGGGAGUUAGGCACCUUCAUUUUUGAUGCUGAGGGAAAUAAGAACUGUUGGUGUUCUGAUUUCCCAUUGGCCAUGGCUGUCCUCUAUCAUUAACUUGUCCUCCUUGUUCAAAGGGCAUAGGUGGCCCCUGGGGAGCAUUUUCAGCUCCGGGCGAGUGGUACUGUGGCUGAGGAGCAUACUGUUGCCAUGGUGGGUAGUUCACUUCAGAAUGUGCAUUAGCAAAAUUUCCUCUUCCUCUGCCAGGCCCAAGGUUUCCUCUGCCCCUGCUGUAACCCCUUCCACUUCCAUGUCCCCCACACUGCAAAUUCAUAUGCCCCAACUGCCCACAGGUCCAGCAUUGAGUGUUGUUCCAGUCACGAGGAGCUCUGGUGGGCCCAUAUUCCUCUUCCAAACCAUGUUUUUGGAUCACCAUAAGGCUGAAUGGGGAAAGGCACAUACCCUGCAGGCACCAGGUUCACGGGUGCCAGAUGUGACUGUUUCAUCUUCAACCUUUUUUCUGAUGGGUUCAGGGCAAUUCUUGGUGUCACAUCCUGACCAGUAAAAAGGGUUAUUUGUCAUUGUAGUUUGGUCAGGGCGUGGUAAGGGGUGUUUGUUUUGUGUGUUUUUGGUUUAUGUUCUAUGUUAUGUAUUUCUAUGUUUAUAUCUAGUUUUCUAUUUCUAUGUUGGGUUUUUGGCAAUGACCUCCAAUUAGAGGCAGCUGGUUGUCGUUGUCUCUAAUUGGAGGCCAUAUUUAGUUGUGUUUGUUUCACUUGUGUUUUGUGGGUGGUUGUUUUCCUGUAUAGCCUGUGUUGCCUUACGGAACUGGUUCGUCGUUUUGUUUAUUUUGUUUAAGUGUUAUCUUUAAAUAAAUUAAGAAGAUGAGCACUAUACCCGCUGCGCUUUGGUCCUAUCCUUACGACGCCUAUGACACUUGGCAGUAUAAUCAUAGAACAUGCAUUCUCCACUGUCAUUCUGGUCAUAUCUUUCUCCGAGUUCCUCAUUCCAUAUUGCUUUAAACUUUUCAAGCCAUUCUGCGAAAUCUGUGUUUUCGUCGAGGGCCACAUGGCUUAGUCUGGUCAUAUCUCUUACAGUGGGAUAUUCAUAUCUUAAAGUCCUCCACAGGGGUACUGUUUCAGGUGGGGCAUCAUUGAUGCGGGCUCUCAACAACAGUGUCUCCAAUUGCCCUGGUGUCAUUAUCCUCGCCAGCAGCGCCUUGAUGUCCCCCAGGCACAGGUUUUCGUUGUGCCCGUGUAAAUGCUCAAAAGUCUGUAUCCACCCAUCCGCUCCUUUUGAGAUCCUGGGCAUGCCUUUUACUGCUGUUUUCAGGUCUCCAAAACUCCAAGCCUUGUAUUCCUGAGUCACCUGUCCCCCUGGACCCGUACGAUACACCAAGGGCAUCAUGGAAUAUGCCUCUCCCUUUCUAUCUCUCCCUAAAUCUCUCAGUUCCUCUUCACACUCUUCUACCUCCCUCUGGUAUUGUCUUACCAUAUCCGUGGCUUUUCUUACCUCCUCUUUUAGCUUUUUACUUUUGUCCACAUCUGUGUCCAUUGUCUCUUUAAUCUUAUCAGCAAUUAGCACCUGCAGAUCUUCUAUCAACUUCCUCUUCUCUUGUCAUAAUGUAUACAUAAUUUUCCAGUCUUUCUUCUCUCUUUCUUUUUUCCCUUUCUCUCUGGUCUCUGAAUAGGUCACCCAUGGAUGGUAACACUUUGUACUUUUCUCUUACUUCUUUAGUAGUUAGUUUGUUUUCUACAGGCGGCCAUAUGUCUAGGGUCUUCCAGUCUGUUCCUUUUUGUGGAGUGAGUUGGGGUGGUGAGGGAAACUCCCUCCAGGAACUGUGCCUCCUUUUUUCAUCAAAUUCUAUUGUUCUCAUGUCACUUGUUGCUGCUGUUGUGUCAUCCACCUCCUUCAUCAGAGUCCCCUUGAGGAUAAUCGUGGUUGCUUCUCCAUUUUGUUCUGUCAGUGGUAUGAGAGGGUAGAUAUAUAUAGUCACCCGGGGGUCCUUUGGGUUGAUUCUCCUACGGCAACGGGGCGGUGGGGAGUUCUCAUGUUCUGCCUCUGUCCUGACUCAUUUCUUUCCUCCCACUCUCUAUUGUUCUCUCCAGCUUUAGUUUGGUCACGGUAGCCUUGUUUAUGAAGCAUCAUUAUUCCUAUCACAGUUUCUGAUACAAGGGUACUUUUCUUUAUCCCCUUCUUUGUGUCCAUUUUUCUUGUCUGAAUUAUCUCCUUGACUAAAUCCAACCUAGUCUUGUUGAAUGAACCAUCCAUUGGAUAUCUAUUUUCUCCUGCCAUCUGUCCAGAUAUGCCAUUUCUUAACCUGUUUAGGAUAGGGGGCAGUAUUUUCACGGCCGGAUAAAAAACGUACCCGAUUUAAUCUGGUUAUUACUGCUGCCCAGAAACUAGAAUAUGCAUAUAAUUGUUUGAUUUGGAUAGAAAACACCCUAAAGUUUCUAAAACUGUUUGAAUGGUGUCUGAGUAUAACAGAACUCAUAUGGCAGGCCAAAACCUGAGAAGAUUAAAUACAGGAAGUGCCCUCUCUGACCAUUUUUUGUCCUUCUAUAGCCUCUUUAUGGAAAAUAGAGGAUCUCUGCUGUAACGUGACAUUUUAUAAGGCUCCCAUAGGCUCUCAGAAGGCGCCAGAAUGGGGAAUGAUGACUCUGCAGUCCCUGGGCGAAAAACAGUAGGGGAUUUGGAAAGUGGUCGAUCUGAGAACAAUGACACGGGCGCGCGCGUGCAUGUGAAGACACCAUUUUCUUCUUUCAGUGUUUGAACGGAUACAACGUCUCCCGGUCGGAAUAUUAUCGCUAUUUUACGAGAAAAAUCGCAUAAAAAUGGAUUUUAAACAGCGUUUGACAUGCUUCGAAGUACGGUAAUGGAAUAUUUCGAAAUUUUGUCACUAUACGCGCCGGCGCGUCACCCUUCGGAUAGUGUCUUGAACGCAAGAACAAAACGCCGCUAUUUGGAUAUAACUAUGGAUUAUUUGGAACCAAAACAACAUUGGGUGUUGAAGUAGAAGUCCUGGGAGUGCAUUCUGCGAAGAACAGCAAAGGUAAUCCAAUUUUUCUUAUAGUAAAUCUGAGUUUGGUGAGUGCCAAACUUGGUGGGUGUCAAAAUAGCUAGCCAUGAUGGCCGGGCUAUCUACUCAGAAUAUUGCAAAAUGUGCUUUCACCGAAAAGCUAUUUUAAAAUCGGACACCGCGAUUGCAUAAAGGAGUUCUGUAUCUAUAAUUCUUAAAAUAAUUGUUAUGUUUUUUGUGAACGUUUAUCGUGAGUAAUUUAGUAAAUUCACCUAAUGUAAAAAGCUGGUUUUUUAUAUAAAUAUGAACUUGAUUGAACAAAACAUGCAUGUAUUGUAUAACAUAAUGUCCUAGGAGUGUCAUCUGAUGAAGAUCAUCAAAGGUUAGUGCUGCAUUUAGCUGUGGUUUUGGUUUUUGUGACAUUAUAUGCUAGCUUGAAAAAUGGGUGUCUGAUUAUUUCUGGCUGGGUACUCUCCUGACAUAAUCUAAUGUUUUGCUUUCGUUGUAAAGCCUUUUUGAAAUCGGACAAUGUGGUUAGAUAAAGGAGAGUCUUGUCUUUAAAAUGGUGUAAAAUAGUCAUAUGUUUGAAAAAUUGAAGUUUUGGGAUUUUUGAGGAGUUUGUAAUUCAUUGGAUAUUGGCGAGGCGUUCCGCUAGCGGAACAUCUAGAUGUAAGAGUUAAAAGUGAAUGUAAAUUCCACAGCGGGAAACUUAUUUUGCAUAUAUUCAACAGCUGUGACAGGCUUCAUUGCUCCUAUCUCCUUAUUCUGGUUAUUCUGGUUUGACUGCUAUGGUGCUUUGGCUUUUUAUUUAGACAGUCUGCUUGUAAUGGGUUGUCCGAUUUCUAUAAGGUUAUCCUAAAGUGGGUGUAAUAUGUAGGAAUAUGUCUAUAUAAAUUAUUCUCUAUCUCCUUUCAGUGUGUGUUAAACAACAGUGGGUGAUACUGUAAUCCUAAUUCUACUCUCACUUAAUCCAGGCUAUAUUGAAUGGUUCUACUAAACUCAAAUAUAUUUCACACACGGGCCUCAUAGAGACAACCGCAUGACAGACUUAAAUUCCUAAUAUUAUACCUUAAGGGUGUAGAGUAACAGUAUUAUGUUAUACACCAUUGCCCCCUGGUGAUAGCAUCACAAAAUAAUUUUCUAUGAAAAUCUCUACAGAACUUCCUUGUAAUUAUUUUACUGGUAUACUAAGGGUUGUACAUUUCCUAUACUGUCCUAUGGUAGGAAAGUGCCACUAACAAAUAUGUUCAACCUUUUAUUCAAAUAACUUCUGUCCUACUCCUAAGUUUUUAUUCCACCAUUGGGCCAUUACCCAAUAAACCCCGCCAUAAUCCACAGACAAACAAACAAUGAAACAUACAACGCACUAUUCAUAAACAACUCAACUCAUUCACUGGGUAAAUUUCACACAGAAUUACCACUAUUCAUAAACAACUCAACUCAUUCACUGGGUACCUCUACAAAAAAAAUAAACCACCCCCCCAUAGGUCAAGGUGGCCUGGGUAAUUGUCACUGAAUUACCUCUACAAAAUAAGAAAUAGAUGAUUAUUAUCGCUGAACCACCUCUCCAAAAUAAAAUAACUAGUAUUCAGUAAUGGUCGAAAUAAAAUAUAAGCAUUACAACCCGAAAUAAAAUAGAAGAGAUGAUUAUUAUAGAACCACCUGUCAGGAAUCCCGCUUCCUGAGUCUGUUUUUUGCCUGAGCUGACUGUUUUUUGUUUUGGAGUCUUUUGUCUGAGGUUCCUGAACGCACCCUGUCUGGUUGCCAGGCAACGAAGCUAGGCGGGAGAACUUUUGAUUACCCGCACCUGCAUCUCAUCAACCAUCUGCACACCUGGUCCUGAUCAUCACCUCUUCAUAAGCCCUGACCUGACAUCCAUUCCCUGCCGGAUCGUUAGCAACGAACAUCAUUCUCCCAGAACAUUCGACUCCCUUGCCUGGCCGUCGGUGGAUUCAGUGACUUCAUUGGAUCAACCCAUUCACUCUCAUCAACUCACCUCCGCUGCCGUUCCGUCUCCUGGAUUAUUCAAUUUACACAUCAAGACUACCAAUAAAU
rnacentral:lncRNA from 1 species